UACGUAGGGUGCGAGCGUUGUCCGGAAUUAUUGGGCGUAAAGCGCACGUAGGCGGAUCGCUAAGUCAGGGGUGAAAUCCUGGAGCUCAACUCCAGAACUGCCUUUGAUACUGGCAAUCUCGAGUCCGGGAGAGGUGAGUGGAACUGCGAGUGUAGAGGUGAAAUUCGUAGAUAUUCGCAAGAACACCAGUGGCGAAGGCGGCUCACUGGCCCGGUACUGACGCUGAGGUGCGAAAGCGUGGGGAGCAAACAGG
rnacentral:rRNA from 1 species